UCCUACGGGGAGGCAGCAGUAAGGAAUAUUGGUCAAUGGACGCAAGUCUGAACCAGCCAUGCCGCGUGAAGGAUGAAGGUCCUUUGGAUUGUAAACUUCUUUUAUAUGGGACGAAACCCGGGCAUUCCUGCCCGAUUGACGGUACCAUAGGAAUAAGCACCGGCUAACUCCGUGCCAGCAGCCGCGGUAAUACGGAGGGUGCAAGCGUUAUCCGGAUUCACUGGGUUUAAAGGGUGCGUAGGAGGGUAGGUAAGUCAGUGGUGAAAUCUCCGGGCUCAACUCGGAAACUGCCGUUGAUACUAUCUGUCUUGAAUACCGUGGAGGUGAGCGGAAUAUGUCAUGUAGCGGUGAAAUGCUUAGAUAUGACAUAGAACACCGAUUGCGAAGGCAGCUCACUACACGAAUAUUGACUCUGAGGCACGAAAGCGUGGGGAUCAAACAGGAUUAGAUACCCUGGUAGUCCACGCCCUAAACUAUGGAUACUCGACAUACGCGAUACACUGUGUGUGUCUGAGCGAAAGCAUUAAGUAUCCCACCUGGGAAGUACGACCGCAAGGUUGAAACUCAAAGAAAUUUGACGGAA
rnacentral:rRNA from 1 species